GGAGGAAGGUGAGGAUGACGCCAAGUCAGCAUGUCCCUCUGAUGUCCUGGGCUGCACACGCGCUACAAUGGCCGUUACAAAGGGGCGCAAUGGGGUAACCCGGAGCAAAUCCUUAAAAGCGGCCUCAGUUCGGAUUGGGGUCUGCAACCCGACCCCAUGAAGCUGGAAUCGCUAGUAAUCGUGGGUCAGCCACACCACGGUGAAUACGUUCUCAAGCCUUGUAC
rnacentral:rRNA from 1 species